UACGUAGGGGGCAAGCGUUGUCCGGAUUUAUUGGGCGUAAAGCGCUCGCAGGUGGUUCGUCGCGUCGUGCGUGAAAGGCCCCGGCUCAACUGGGGAGGGUCGUGCGAUACGGGCGGACUGGAGGCCAGUAGGGGGAUGCGGAAUUCCGGGUGUAGUGGUGGAAUGCGUAGAGAUCGGGAAGAACAUCAGUGGCGAAGGCGGCCUGCUGGGCUGUUGCUGACGCUGAGGCGCGACAGCGUGGGGGAGCAAACAGG
rnacentral:rRNA from 1 species